GUUAGGAAUAUUGGACAAUGGGCGCAAGCCUGAUCCAGCCAUGCCGCGUGAGUGAUGAAGGCCUUCGGGUUGUAAAGCUCUUUAGCCGAUGAUUAUAAUGACUGUAGUCGGAAAAUAAGCCCCGGCUAACUUCGUGCCAGCAGCCGCGGUAAUACGAAGGGGGCGAGCGUUAUUCGGAAUCACUGGGCGUAAAGCGUGCGUAGGCGGCUUUGCAAGUUGGGAGUGAAAGACCAGGGAUCAACCCUGGAAUUGCUCUCAAAACUGCAAGGCUCGAAUUCGGGAGAGGAUAGCGGAAUUGUCAGUGUAGCAGUGAAAUGCGUAGAUAUUGACAGGAACACCAGUGGCGUAAGCGGCUAUCUGGACCGAUAUUGACGCUGAGGCACGAAAGCGUGGGGAUCAAACAGGAUUAGAAACCCCGGUAGUCC
rnacentral:rRNA from 1 species